GACGAACGCUGGCGGCGUGCCUAAUACAUGCAAGUCGAGCGAAGUUUUUCUGGUGCUUGCACCGGAAAAACUUAGCGGCGAACGGGUGAGUAACACGUAAAGAACCUGCCUCAUAGACUGGGACAACUAUUGGAAACGAUAGCUAAUACCGGAUAACAGCAUUAACUGCAUCGUUGAUGUUUAAAAGUUGGUUUUGCUAACACUAUGAGAUGGCUUUGCGGUGCAUUAGCUAGUUGGUGGGGUAAAGGCCUACCAAGGCGACGAUGCAUAGCCGACCUGAGAGGGUGAUCGGCCACACUGGGACUGAGACACGGCCCAGACUCCUACGGGAGGCAGCAGUAGGGAAUCUUCCGCAAUGGGCGAAAGCCUGACGGAGCAACGCCGCGUGAGUGAAGAAGGAUUUCGGUUCGUAAAGCUCUGUUGUUAGGGAAGAAUGAUUGUGUAGUAACUAUACACAGUAGAGACGGUACCUAACCAGAAAGCCACGGCUAACUACGUG
rnacentral:rRNA from 1 species